rnacentral:rRNA from 1 species
AGCGGCGGACGGGUGAGUAAUGCAUAGGAAUCUGCCCGAUAGUGGGGGAUAACCUGGGGAAACCCAGGCUAAUACCGCAUACGUCCUACGGGAGAAAGGGGGCUCCGGCUCCCGCUAUUGGAUGAGCCUAUGUCGGAUUAGCUAGUUGGUGAGGUAAAGGCUCACCAAGGCGACGAUCCGUAGCUGGUCUGAGAGGAUGAUCAGCCACAUCGGGACUGAGACACGGCCCGAACUCCUACGGGAGGCAGCAGUGGGGAAUAUUGGACAAUGGGCGAAAGCCUGAUCCAGCCAUGCCGCGUGUGUGAAGAAGGCCCUCGGGUUGUAAAGCACUUUCAGCGAGGAAGAACGCCUAGUGGUUAAUACCCAUUAGGAAAGACAUCACUCGCAGAAGAAGCACCGGCUAACUCCGUGCCAGCAGCCGCGGUAAUACGGAGGGUGCAAGCGUUAAUCGGAAUUACUGGGCGUAAAGCGCGCGUAGGUGGCUUGAUAAGCCGGUUGUGAAAGCCCCGGGCUCAACCUGGGAACGGCAUCCGGAACUGUCAAGCUAGAGUGCAGGAGAGGAAGGUAGAAUUCCCGGUGUAGCGGUGAAAUGCGUAGAGAUCGGGAGGAAUACCAGUGGCGAAGGCGGCCUUCUGGACUGACACUGACACUGAGGUGCGAAAGCGUGGGUAGCAAACAGGAUUAGAUACCCUGGUAGUCCACGCCGUAAACGAUGUCGACCAGCCGUUGGGUGCCUAGCGCACUUUGUGGCGAAGUUAACGCGAUAAGUCGACCGCCUGGGGAGUACGGCCGCAAGGUUAAAACUCAAAUGAAUUGACGGGGGCCCGCACAAGCGGUGGAACCAUGUGGUUUAAAUUCGAUGCAACGCGAAGAACCUUACCUACUCUUGACAUCCUGCGAACUUGUGAGAGAUCACUUGGUGCCUUCGGGAACGCAAAGACAGGUGCUGCAUGGCUGUCGUCAGCUCGUGUUGUGAAAUGUUUGGGUUAAGUCCCGUAACGAGCGCAA